UUCCGGUUGAUCCCGCCGGACCUGACUGACUCUCGGAUUGAUACUAAGCCAUGUGUGUCCUUGUAGCAAUACAAGGCGACGGUUCAGUAACACGUAGCCAAUCUAAACUAUGGGACGGGGAUUAACCUCGGGAAACUGGAGGAUAAACCCCGAUUAGAUCAUUAUGCCCUGGAAACGGGUUAUGGUCCAAAUGAUUCCUCGCCGUAGGAUGAGAAUGCGGCCUAAUCAAGCUUGUUGGUGAGGUAAUGGCCCACCAAGGCUAUUACAGGUACGGGCUCUGAGAGGAGAAGCCCGGAGAUGGGUACUGAGACACGGACCCAGCCCUAUGGGGGCGCCAGGCGAAGAAAACUUUGCAAUGUGCGCAAGCACGACAAGGUUAAUCCGAGUGAUUCCUGCUCAAAGGAAUCUUUUGUUAGUCUUAAAAAUCACUAAUUGGAAUAAGGGGUGGGCCAAGUUCUGGUGUCCAGCCGCCGCGGUAAAAACCAGCACCCUCAAGUGGUUCAGGGAGGGAUUUAUUGGGGCCCUAAAGCAUUCCGUAAACCUGGCUCUGUAAGUUUCCCGGUUAAAUUCCAUUAAGCUCAACUAAAUGGCCUUGCCGGGAAAAUUACUGCAGAAGCUUAGGGAAGUGGGGAGAAGGUAGAACCGUACUCCGGUAAGGAAGGGGGUUAAAAUCCCUUUGAUCUUAUUUGAUGACCCCCCUGUGGGCGAAAGCCGGUCUACCCCAAAACACGUUCCGACGGGUGAGGGGAGAAAAGCUGGGGGGAGCAACCGGAUUAGAUACCCCGGCUAGUCCCAGCUGUGGGCGAUUCAGACUCGGUGAUGCGCUGGCUUGUGCCCAGUACAAAGCCGCAGGGAAGCCGUUAAGUUUGCCCGCCUGGGAAGUACGUACGCAAGUAUGAAACUUAAAGGAAUUGACGGGGGCCCCCUUUGGCGAGGCCUUUUUUGCCGGCC
rnacentral:rRNA from 1 species